rnacentral:rRNA from 1 species
GAUGAACGCUGGCGGCGUGCCUAAUACAUGCAAGUCGAGCGAACAGAUGAGGAGCUUGCUCCUCUGACGUUAGCGGCGGACGGGUGAGUAACACGUGGAUAACCUACCUAUAAGACUGGGAUAACUUCGGGAAACCGGAGCUAAUACCGGAUAAUAUAUUGAACCGCAUGGUUCAAUAGUGAAAGACGGUUUUGCUGUCACUUAUAGAUGGAUCCGCGCCGCAUUAGCUAGUUGGUAAGGUAACGGCUUACCAAGGCAACGAUGCGUAGCCGACCUGAGAGGGUGAUCGGCCACACUGGAACUGAGACACGGUCCAGACUCCUACGGGAGGCAGCAGUAGGGAAUCUUCCGCAAUGGGCGAAAGCCUGACGGAGCAACGCCGCGUGAGUGAUGAAGGUCCUCGGAUCGUAAAACUCUGUUAUUAGGGAAGAACAAAUGUGUAAGUAACUAUGCACGUCUUGACGGUACCUAAUCAGAAAGCCACGGCUAACUACGUG